CCCAGCACUGGAGCCUACAGGAUCUUUGGUGGGGCUAAUGGUUGACUCCAGGAGGGCUCACGCCCAGGAGUACUUCCCAGAACUUCUGCUGCCAGUGUCCUUGUCCCUGCAGUGAGCCACAGCCACCCCCCACCUCUGCAGGAGACCUUCCAACACUAGCAGCCUGCUGAUCUGGAAAAUUCUAUCAUUUUAUUUUUGAUGGACGAACCAACCUUGGAUACCUGGAAGAGGAGGUCAUCAAGAAAAGGGCCUGUUUUUCACUCUCUGAUAACUGCAGUUUUUCAGCAGCUGACUCCAUAUAGCAAAACGUAAAGACUAAUCUAGCAGAAGCUGAAUCAACUCUGUUAUUAGGUAGACAAAGAAACACAGUGGAACAAAGGUGGUUCCAACCUAGAAGACAAAUGGCAGAAAAGUCUGAGAACACAGGUUCAGAGGAUUCACUGGCAAAAUAACCACUCCACACUUCAAUAAACAAGAAAAAAGGAAAUUUAUUAUAUUAGUAGUAGGUUACAGUAUAAGGACAAGCAAUAUAUAUAUGUACAUACAUCUUCAAUUUGGAAGAACUUACAUCGCCACACGUGUUACUACUUUGAGAGAACAUUCAUCAGCAAAUUGAGAGAACAAGCAACAUCAUCAACCUGGGAAAAUUCGCAUCACCAGUUUGGGAGAGCAAACGACACAUAAAGAGAUAGAAGCGCAUACAUCACCAAUUUGAGAGAACUUCACCCAGAUCCAAAAAGUGCUGGGAAGUCUCUGGAACAGCAAUCUGGAGUCCCAGUUGGGAAGGCCCCGGGCCAUGCAUCCACUCCAUGGGUGAGACUUCAGAGUGUCCUCCAAAGGAAUCCUGCUUUUAUCGCCAAGCCGCAAGCUAAUAAUCAUCAGUUUAUGUGCAAAUGUGCAGCUCUGGCUAUUAUGUUUAAUGCUUGAAAUUCUAAUCAUAAAUCUCAGAAUGUCUGCUGAUCUCCGGGAACUGGCCAGAUUCCCAGGGCCCAGGAAGCUUCGUGACUUACUCCCUUUACUGGUUCUCAAGGCCUGCCAGACUUACUUGCUCCCUUCCUUAUCUGUUGGUUCUCAAGACCUACUUUCAUGGCUUCUGCUAGUCAGCAGGUUGGCAUGUAACCCUUUUCAGGGUCUCUGUUCAAAGGCCUAUUAUUUAUUGCCUCUGAAGCCUGAACAAGACUACUUUUAUUAACUUCCCUAACAGUAAUUUUUUAGAUUUCUAAAUUUCUGAGGUGAAAGUAGGGUCCAGAAUGGACUAUUAAAUUAAACAGACCAGAUAACUCAGUGGCUCUGUGCAAAUUCUAAUCUAGUUUCCGCCCAUCUGGAUUAUAACAUUUAGUUGAAAUCAUGAAACCUCAUAUUGGAGUACUUAAAAUGUGGAAAUUUAGUCUUUUCUAUCUUCCAGUGACCAUCUUUACCAGAUACACAGAAUAGUCCAGUAAUCUCUUCUGAGCCAUAUUUAUAAGGAUACUUUUGCUCCACAUCAUAUUAUCAAGUGGUGUGUCAUCACCGUUGUGGGAUGUAACCAAGUAUUUAGCUUGUAAUAAUUAUUUAUAUCAUGGUUUAAUACAAUUUCCCUGAAAAGCUUACUGCUUCCUUUCUUCUACUGCUUCUGGACUCCUGCCUCAUUUUUCCUUCCAUUUUCCUUUCUUUCUCCUUUUUAUCCUUACUCUUUCACUCUUUUUCUCAAACACUUCUAUUUGUACGAGUCAAAGAACGCAGGUUAGGCAGAAGGAACAUUCUCACUUUUGGAGAAUGAAUCCAGUGGCAUGGUGGUGUCAAUACAAAAACAUGUGUUUUUUAAAAAUAGAAAUAAACAGAUAUGAAAAUAGAUAAGCAUGCAUGUAUACUUAUGUACAUAUACUCAUGUACAAUAACACUCCAAUAUCAAUGAAUAUAUCCAGCCCCAAGAUUUUGGUUUGUAAAUACCAUUAUUCAAUAAAAAUGUCUAGGGCUCUUUAAAUGUCUGCCUCCCAAGCUGGGAUGGGGAAGGUACAAGAUGGGUCUGGGACACUGUGUUCCAGAGAUUAAGAAAGUCCUCUAAAGAAGAUGGGAACUUGUCUAGAGGAAAAAGGAAGAAAUUCUAUUUUCAUCAUGAACAAGUAAGUUCUCCAUCAAUAACAAUUACAAACACUGCACAAAAUACAAACACUUAACACAUAAAGACAGACUCUCAAACCAAUUUGAUACUGAAAAAGGGCAGUGGCACAGAGUAAGGUGUUGUGUUUGUUUGUUUUGUUUUUUUGCUUUUCCUUUAUAGCUUCUAACUUGAGG